rnacentral:rRNA from 1 species
CAGUCGCCGCGGGAAUACGUAGGUGGCUAGCGUUGUCCGGAAUUAUUGGGCGUAAAGGGCUCGCAGGCGGUUUCUUAAGUCUGAUGUGAAAGCCCCCGGCUCAACCGGGGAGGGUCAUUGGAAACUGGGAAACUUGAGUGCAGAAGAGGAGAGUGGAAUUCCACGUGUAGCGGUGAAAUGCGUAGAGAUGUGGAGGAACACCAGUGGCGAAGGCGACUCUCUGGUCUGCAACUGACGCUGAGGAGCGAAAGCGUGGGGAGCGAACAGGAUUAGAUACCCCUGUAGUCCCUGUCUCUUAUAA